UUUCAACCACUUGUUUAAGAUGCUGAUUAAAAUAACAGCAGUAAUAAAGUAAAGGACACAAGCCUAUUACCUUUAUGCAUUUGUACACGUUGUUCUUAACAUAGAGAAGACUGCACACGUCUCUCCUUGGCAGUUUGUGUACAUGAAUUCUCCAGUGACUGCUAAAUGAUUUCUAUCUUCCCAGUGCAAACAUAUUAAAGCUAUAUCUGACUGUGGGAGCUCCUCUCUGGCUGUUACUGUGGAGCUGCAGUGUUAUUGGAGGCUCCACUGGCAAACUGAAAGACCGGGGAAGACUGGAAAUGUUGGCUGGAAAACUAAACACGAUAGUGUGACAAGAAGGUAUGGCGCCAUUAAAGCACAGAGUGUCUGAGUGAUGCUCUCUGCAGAUCCUCUGCAGGUGUGGGCCUUCGAAAACUCCUUUGAGACAAAUUGCACAUUCAUUCCUUCUCAAACGCCCACAUGAAGGCUUUAGCGUGAGCAUGUACUACAGGAGAAAUGAGGUAGAUAAAUGCAGGCCCGCUGUGGAGCUAGAAGACAGGAAUAUCAGGAUCUGACCUGCUGACUCCGAAGAGGUCAUGUGUGAGGCGAGGACUACAGCCGCUGCGCCCACCAACACCAGAAUGUGAGACGUUUCAGGAAUCUAAGCAGCAUUGCUCUGUCUGACCACACAGGAACAACACAGGACAUAAUGCUGACAUUUUUAAGACCUCUAAGAAAAGAUCAAAUUAGUCCCAACAAAGUCUGCAAUUCAUUUCUGUCUAAAUAUAGGUUUUCAGAUUUUAAGUUCAUGUACACUACAUGGACAUGCCAUUCAGUAGGUCUUUUUGGAAUAUUCACAUUUUGUGAGACACAGAACAUAAGGAGCUGUAAGCCCUAAUCAUGAAAAUGUAUGGAAAUAAAUACAUGAAAUAUGUCACUUACUGUGCAAUCAGUUUAUGCAAUACAUGUUUUACUUUUUUUUUUAUUGAAUCACUGCAAGAAAUUAGCUCUAUGAUGAUAUUCUGAAUUAUUGAAUUCCAAAACCUGAUACCACAGUACAUCUACAUCUGCACAGCAGAUGAAGUUGUUUGGAUAUACAAACGUUAUUUGGAUGCGUCUGCUUGUGAUCCCCGUAAUUAGUGCCCACGUAUAACAGUAGCCACUACAAUUCAUUAUGUAGUUCUUAAGAACACCCCAAAAUUUAGAUCAAGUGACUGCUUCAUUCAGAUUAAGUUCAUCCAAAACAAAUUAAAUUGGAAGAGUUUUGUAAAAGAUAUUUUUCUGCCUUUGUUAGGACACGCCAGGCUAGACACAGAGUUCCCACAGGCUGUACUGUCUGUGUUCUCAAUUAGCAACCUGAGCUCACUAAAAUAUCAAAGAAUAAGUGAUUUAUUGCAAGUAUGUACUUAAUCUUGUGUAUAUAUUGUCAGGUGACCUCACAUAUAAAAUUGGUUAAAACUAAAAACCUUCAAAGGCAUUUCAGCGGUUGCACAUGGCUUCCCAAACUCCCCUGCUUCUCCGGAAAGCGCCCCCUCGUUAUCCUGCUCCAAUCUUACCAACAGCCCCACAAAAGUCCCCCUCUUUUGUGUGAGCGUGUGCACGCAUGGAUAUGCAUUUAACAUGUGCUGUCAUGUGUGCAGGUUGGCAUAUGUGUAAGUGACAUAAUUUUGAGUGUAUAUAUCAAGCUGUGUUUUUGCAGGAGCUCGUGCUGGCCGCAGUCACUUUUGAUGGAUAUCUACUCUGGCUUUGGAGAGCUGCACGUUUUCCAGUGGGUGACUCAUGGGGCUUCUGACAGAUGCCUGUACCAAUUUACUGCUACUGCCAUUGCUGCUGCUCCUUCCCCCCCUACCCCAAAUGUGUGUGUUUCAGUGUGUGGAGAGCAAUGAAUAAGUGUCCUGUGCAUUUGCUGGUUGUGGUUGUAGUUUCCAAAUUGUGCUUAUGGACUUUCCACUCAUCUUUCGAACAGCAGACGAGGAAAGGAAAAGGGGGUGCUGGGAAAUGACUAUUCUUUAAUGAAACACCAUACAUGCUCAGACAUUCACAGAAAUGCCUCAGGCUGGGUUUUAGGUGGCUGUUGUGCUGGUGUCAGACUAAAAAAUUACAAGUUAUGUAUUCUCAUAGGGAUAAAUGUGUCAUAAUUUUAGAUAAUCCACAAAAGGUACAAAAAAAGAAACGGAAAAUAUCACCAGGGUUAUAUGGUUCAUUAUAUUAAAAACUACUUUUAGUUUUAGUAAUAGCCAAUAAUUUGUGCAAUUUAUUUCUCAAUUUAACCUAGGGUAUAUGUCUAUAACUAGCAUUAUGCACACAUUUAUAUCCUGUUACAUUUUUGAGAAGCCUGUGCUGAAAAAUUGUGUAUUU